GGGGAUAUAGCUUAGUGGUAGAGUAUUUGCCUAGUAUGUGCAAAGCCCUGGGUUUGAUUCCCAGUACCUCCU
rnacentral:tRNA from 1 species